rnacentral:rRNA from 1 species
ACUCCUACGGGAGGCAGCAGUGGGGAAUAUUGCACAAUGGGGGAAACCCUGAUGCAGCCAUGCCGCGUGUGUGAAGAAGGCCUUGGGUUGUAAAGCACUUUCAGUAGGGAGGAAGGUAGUGUAGUUAACACCUGCAUUAUUUGACGUUACCUACAGAAGAAGCACCGGCUAACUCCGUGCCAGCAGCCGCGGUAAUACGGAGGGUGCGAGCGUUAAUCGGAAUUACUGGGCGUAAAGCGCAUGCAGGCGGCCUGUUAAGUCAGAUGUGAAAGCCCGGGGCUUAACCUCGGAAUUGCAUUUGAAACUGGCAGGCUAGAGUCUUGUAGAGGGGUUAGAAUUUCAGGUGUAGCGGUGAAAUGCGUAGAGAUCUGAAGGAAUACCGAGUGGCGAAGGCGGCCCCCGUGGACAAAGCUGACGCUCAGAUGCGAAAGCGUGGGAGCAAACGAGGAUUAGAUACCCCGU